rnacentral:lncRNA from 10 species
GCGUCCGGGAGGAGCCAACCGUGGCGCAGGCGGCGCGGGGAGGCGUCCCAGAGUCUCACUCUGCCGCCCAGGCUGGACUGCAGUGACACAAUCUCGGCUGACUGCAACCACUGCCUCCAGGGUUCAAGCGAUUCUCUUGCCUCAGCCUCCCAAGUAGCUGGGAUUACAGGUACCCACCACUACGCCUGUCUAAUUUUUGUAUUUUUAGUAGAAAUGGGGUUUCACCAUGUUGGUCGGGCUGAUCUCAAACUCCUGACCUCAGGUGAUCCGCCUGUCUUGGCCUCCCACAGUGCUGGCAUUACAGGUGUGAGCCACUGUGCUGGGCCAAAAAUAAUCUAAAUUUCAACAAUCAGCAUGACCAUGCCUGUGCGUAUGACCCUAAUUAUCAGUCUGACUGAUUCUUCCUUCCAAAAUGAUGGCAGAGGAUCACCUCUU